GAUGAAGAACGUAGCGAAAUGCGAUAAGUAAUGUGAAUUGCAGAAUUCAGUGAAUCAUCGAAUCUUUGAACGCACAUUGCGCCCGCCAGUAUUCUGGCGGGCAUGUCUGUUCGAGCGUCAUUACAACCCUCAGGCCCCCCGGCUUGGUGUUGGGGACCGGCCACCGGUGCCCUGCUGCUUCCGCGGCAGGCGCACCCGGCCGCCCCCGAAAUGAAUUGGCGGCCCCGUCGCGGCCUCCCUCUGCGUAGUCGCACACAUCUCGCAGCUGGAGCGCGGCGCGGCCACUGCCGUAAAACGCACCAACUUUUUUUACAGUUGACCUCGAAUCAGGUAGGAAUACCCGCUGAACUUAAGCAUAUCAAUAAGCGGAGGA
rnacentral:misc_RNA from 1 species